GGGGAUUUAGCUCAGUGGCAUAAGCGCCUGCCUUCCAAGCAGGCAGUAGUCGUGAAUUCGAUCCCCG
rnacentral:tRNA from 1 species